GAUGAUCUCAUCAUCUAAUAAUAUCGAACAACCAUUAUUCUCAAAAACUAAUUUAUAUCCAUUGACUAUCAAACAAGAAAUGGAGAUAAUAUUUUUGAUAAUAGAAGGAACAAAAUAACAUGCAUCUAAUGUAAUAAAAGCUCUACCAAGCAGAUGUAGGGCGACCUCACCAACAGCUACUACAAUAAUUUUUGCUCCAUUGCCCAUCUUUGG
rnacentral:lncRNA from 1 species